rfam:Rhizobiales bacterium 63-7 SCNpilot_expt_1000_bf_scaffold_1601, whole genome shotgun sequence.
AUCGGCAUUGCUGAUGAGCGCUGAAAUGAAUUCGCCGCUCGCAAUUGCCGCGUCGCUUCAGGCUUUUGACCACGGAUGUACUGGCACGAGUAGAUAAGCGACGGUGAGGAAGGUCGGUGCGGUUUCGCCCCGGCCUUUUUUGUU